rnacentral:rRNA from 1 species
UUGACCUCGAAUCAGGUAGGACUACCCGCUGAACUUAAGCAUAUCAAUAAGCGGAGGAAAAGAAACUAACAGGAAUCCCCUUAGUAACGGCGAGUGAAGCGGGAGAGCCAAUU